UAGGGAAUCUUGCGCAAUGGGCGAAAGCCUGACGCAGCCAUGCCGCGUGAAUGAUGAAGGUCUUAGGAUUGUAAAAAUUCUUUCACCGGGGACGAUAAUGACGGUACCCGGAGAAGAAGCCCCGGCUAACUUCGUGCC
rnacentral:rRNA from 1 species